GUGAACUCUCAAUUUCUCUGUAAACUUUGCUAGAUUUCUCUCAUCUUGAGAGCUGGCUUAUCGUUUGGGUGUUUUCUAUGAACAUCGAUUCGAUUGUUACUGGUUACGGAGUUUAAUCUGAGUUUCUUAUUAUUCAUUGGAGUGAUCGGAGGUUUCGCUGUAUCAUUCAGACAAGUAUCCAUGUUUCUCUUGUUGGGGAUGCUGCAAGCACUUCUUGAAAAAUGGUUCAAAAUUACAGAAACUCUGUUUAUCCAAGACCACAAACUUAUAGUUCUUGUUACUGUGUAAUUUGGUUAUAUGUUGUAGAUCAACAAAAUCUUUUUACGUGAGUAAUAUCCAACAUGAUUCUAAGAGAAUCUAACAUCAGGCUGUAUGUGAAAUGCUACCGAAGCAACUAAAACCCAAUACUAAGCCAAGCAUUCAAAGAAGAUACUGUGUUGGGAUCUUGUCAAUAAGCUUCUUUAUUCUUAGUGAAAUCCUAGUGACA
rnacentral:misc_RNA from 1 species